rnacentral:rRNA from 1 species
UACGUAGGUGGCAAGCGUUAUCCGGAUUUAUUGGGUUUAAAGGGUGCGUAGGCGGACGCUUAAGUCAGCGGUAAAAUUGCGGGGCUCAACCCCGUCGAGCCGUUGAAACUGUCAGACUUGAGUUUGCGAGAAGUACGCGGAAUGCGCGGUGUAGCGGUGAAAUGCAUAGAUAUCGCGCAGAACUCCGAUUGCGAAGGCAGCGUACCGGCGCCACACUGACGCUGAGGCACGAAAGCGUGGGGAUCGAACAGG